AGUAUCGGUACUAUCAGUACUAUGCACGUCAUGUUAGUCUGGCCGUUUAAGCUUAUUUCGCGGGCAAACGUAGGGGACGUACCGAAAUAAAGUCUUCCCACGCACGAAUUCGAUGCUAAAAGAGAUCCGACGUCCAUUUCUAAAGUUAUCCCUUGCUCUCGGCACGUGCCACACGAUACGGAGGUCUGUUCAAUUGCCUGUUUUUUUCACUCUGUGGAAAUUUGUGAAAUACGACCAUGACAUGACACCCGGAUAGAUUCUGGCGAAGGCAACAGAAUGAAGAAAGGAAAAAGAGAGAGAGGGAAAGAAAGAGAAAAGAGGGAGGGAGAAAAAAGAGAAAGGAAGGGAGAUAACGAUACAGAUGGGUGGUAUACACAGAGUAAAAGUUCGAAGUUAUCUUGCGAUGAAUGCAAGAAAUCGUGACAAAACAAGCAGGUUCAUGACUAUAAACAAGAAAUUGCAAGAUCGCUAAAAUUAGUCGAGUAAAACGUAAUUCGAUAUUUGAAGAUAAAACAGAUACUUUGCCAGACCACGUAUACAAUUCCUAUGUAUUUGUUUAAACUUAGUUAUUUACUAAAAUAAAUAAUCUUAAUUAUUCAUAAUUAAUAACGAUUUAACUUAAAGUUAUUCAACUAAAUUUAUUUUAUAUUUAUAUCACAAUAUCACAAUAUAUUUAAACUAAAUUUAUUUGAUAUUAUUAUUUAUAAUAUAUGAAUUUUAUAUAUGAAUUUUAUAUAUGAAAUCGAUACGAUUUUUACAUAUGAAACUGAUAAAACAAACAAAAAAUAUUGUUUAAAGAUAAUAUUUGUAAAAUUAAAUCGUUUUUUUAAUUGAUGAUCGUUUGAAUUUUUAAAUAAAUAAUUAAAGCUUUUAUUUAUUUGAUAUAAUGAACGUAAAGAUCUAUUGGGGUGUAAAAGAGCCUAACGAAAAGUAUAACAUGGUUGGAGGAUAGCCAGUGGAUGGAGGAUGCAAUUCCUCGGUCGAUAUUCUGGCACGACAGGGGAUGCCGGUUAGGGCCAGACUUGGCUCCCUCUAGGGCGUUGUUGUAAACGUCUCUUGUGUGUGGCACAAGGUCAAACGGAAGAUGAUUCACCGAUGAGGAGCGACAUAGUCGGUUGUUUAACUGUCGAUUAUACAGUUCGUUUACAUAUGCGAUAUUUAUAUUAUUUUAUAUUAUAUUAUUUAAUAUGAAAAUAUUGAAAGUCAAAAAUAUUCAACUUUUAUUAAAGAAAAAUGAAAUUUGAAAAUAUAACCAUUUGAAAAUAUAUAAAAUUUCGGUAAUUA